rnacentral:rRNA from 1 species
GAGGCUUCCCCGGGAAACGGAAAGUCUUUCGGUUCCGGGGGAAGUAUGGUUGCAAAGUUGAAACUUAAAGGAGUUGACGGAAGGUCACCACCAGAAGUGGAGCCUGCGGCUUAAUUUGACUCAACACGGGAAAACUCACCCGGUCUAGACACUGCGAGGAUUGACAGACUGAUAGCUUUUUCAUGAUUUGGUGGAUGGUGGUGCAUGGCCGUUCUUAGUUCGUGGAUUGAUUUGUCUGGUUAAUUCCGAUAACGAACGAGAUUGGAACUUAAUUAAAUAGAUUUGUCUUUCCAAUAUUAUGGAGGCAAUAAUCUUCUUAAUGGGAUUUGCGGCGAUCCAGUCGUAAGAAACCCAGCAAUAACAGGUCUGUGAUGCCCUAAGAUGUCUGGGGCUGCACGCGCGCUACAAUGAAAAUUGCAGCGCGUGUGACCAUUUCCGGAAGGAAUUGGUAAACGAGUCAAAUUAUUCCGUAUUUGGGAUCGAAUAUUGUAAUUAUUAUUCGUGAACGAGGAACUUCAAGUAAGUGUAAGUCAUCAGCUUACGCUG